GCGUCGGUAGUUCAAUGGUAGAAUUCUUGCCUUCCAAGCAAGAGGCCCGGGUUCGAUUCCCGGCCGACGCA
rnacentral:tRNA from 1 species